rnacentral:tRNA from 1 species
GGGCCUAUAGCUUAGUUGGUAGAGCGCCGCAUUCGCAUUGCGGUGACGCCGGUUCGACUCCGACUAGGUCCA